UGGGGAAUAUUGGACAAUGGGCGAAAGCCUGAUCCAGCAAUGCCGCGUGUGUGAAGAAGGCCUUCGGGUUGUAAAGCACUUUUGUUAGGGAGGAAAGUCUGGGGGUUAAUACCCUCUGGAUCUGACGUUACCUAAAGAAUCAGCACCGGCUAACUCUGUGCCAGCAGCCGCGGUAAUACAGAGGGUGCAAGCGUUAAUCGGAAUUACUGGGCGUAAAGGGUCUGUAGGCGGAUUAUUAAGUCGGAUGUGAAAUCCCCGGGCUCAACCUGGGAACUGCAUUCGAUACUGGUAAUCUAGAGUAUGCAAGAGGAUGGGGGAAUUCCUGGUGUAGCAGUGAAAUGCGUAGAUAUCAGGAGGAACAUCAAUGGCGAAGGCACCUUUCUGGGGCAAUACUGACGCU
rnacentral:rRNA from 1 species